CUUCCGUUCAAUGAACUCAUUAAAUGCUGACAUUACCGUUACAUUUUGGACACAUGGCAGUUAUCCUCCACGUAAACGCCAUUAAGGCGACUGGCAGGCCCUUUUCCCCCAUUUCCUUUUCCGUGGUUUUCGUGGUGCCAUACCCUUCCGUAGAGUCACUGUUUCCUCCAUUAUCUCUUCUCCCCAAGCCCCAGCACCUGAACUAGCUCCCCUCUACUCCCUCUCUCUCGCUUUCCCCCCAUUCGCUGCCGGUCUUGGUCUAGGGUUUUCUGCUCAUCGGAGUCCGAUCAAACAUGGUGUCUCAGGAGGGCUCGAUUAUGAUCAGGGCUGACCGCAGGGAAGAGUCCGGUGACUCAAUUUCUCGAAUCUUCUCCGAUCCUAGUUGCAGGAAAGGAAAUGGAGGAGUCCUUAACCUUCUUGUUUUUCUAGGCUCCGAGGAUGCGCUGUACAAGGAGUUGUGGCGCGCCUGCGCCGGUCCCUUCGUCACCGUACCCCGGGAAGGAGAGCUCGCCUACUACUUCCCCCAGGGCCAUAUCGAGCAGGGAUUGGAGCCACUUAUUACUAAGCUAACACUUUGUUGGUAACAUUUUCAUGAUGAAAAGUUUGAUGUAUCAAUCAUAAAGAUUUAUUCUUCCCUUUACUCCACUCAAGGUAAGAGGGAAGAGGUAAGCUUGUCAUCCAAUUUCACAUCUAUAUCUAUAUAUAGUAAAAUUACACUAAGUAACAAAUGCGCAUAAUAAAUUUUAUAAAUAAAGAUACUUAAAAUAAAUAUUAUAAUUAAUAAAAUAUAAAUAAUUAUAUCAUUAUAACAAAGUUCUUUUAUUUUAUAUACUUCACAUAUAUAAUUAAAAUAUAAAUUAUUAAAGUCAUUUUUAAUUAACAAAUUAAAUUAAUUAAGUAUUUUAAAUGAUGUCACAAUUGUUUAUUCCAAACGAGAUUCGUUUGGAACAAAAAAAUGAGAAAGUCGCAAAAUACUAUAAAAAUCAUCAUUAAACUGUUUAAUAAAGUCUAAGGUAUUAUUGUUCAAAAUUAGAAUAGUCAAGUUGGACAUAAAUUAGAAAAUAUAAACAAUUAGAAAAAAAGGAAAAUAUAAAAAAAGAAUUGCAAUUAACCAAUUGACUAAUAAUGAAAUUUGACAAAUAACGAAAUUGAAGAAUUAGUUGAAAGACUAGAAAUGCAAAACUAUUAUUGUGCUAUUUAACUUACUAUAAUUUUAAAAAAAGAAUUAUGAAAAAAAUAUUGUUUAAAACUUGAAGCUAAUAAAAAAAAUAUUAUUAGUCUUAAUAGAAAAAUUAGUCUUUAAAAGAAAUUACAAUAUAAAAAAUAUAAAAAGUAUAUUAAAAUGAACUCAUACAAUGAAUGGGCGCAAUAGUAGUUUAAUGUACCAGCGAAAUGGUAGUUUAAUUAAGUACUGAAAAUUUAAUUUGAACAUUUAACUUAAAUAACAAAACACAUGCUUAAUUUAUUAAAUUAAGUCAAUCUUAUUUUAGUUCAUUAAACAAUUAAAUCUCCAAUUAUAUACUAAAAGUUUAAUUUAAGCAUUUAAUUUGAAUAAUCAAAUGCCACCUAAAUCACCAACGUGGGUAAGUUCAAACAGUUUGGCAUUUAUUCCACUUUAAGUAAGGUCUCUGAUUUUAAUUCUUGUGAAUGCAAAAAAUUUACGCUAAGAGAACUUUACUACUUCGUAGGUCGAUCCGACUCAACUAGAUUAAUCGAGACCCAAUUGAUUUUUUGGAGUUCACACCGAAAAAAAAAAACCUAAAUCUAAAUUUCAUCCAACAAAUGCCUUAUAAGAACACGCAGAUACAUCUAUAUAAAUGUUCAAUAAUAUGUUCCUAGCAUAAUCCAAACAAACUAA